rnacentral:rRNA from 1 species
CCUACGGGUGGCAGCAGUCGAGAAUCAUUCACAAUGGGGGAAACCCUGAUGGUGCGACGCCGCGUGGGGGAAUGAAGGUCUUCGGAUUGUAAACCCCUGUCAUGUGGGAGCAAAUUAAAAAGAUAGUACCACAAGAGGAAGAGACGGCUAACUCUGUGCCAGCAGCCGCGGUAAUACAGAGGUCUCAAGCGUUGUUCGGAAUCACUGGGCGUAAAGCGUGCGUAGGCUGUUUCAUAAGUCGUGUGUGAAAGGCGCGGGCUCAACCCGCGGACGGCACAUGAUACUGCGAGACUAGAGUAAGGGAGGGGGAACCGGAAUUCUCGGUGUAGCAGUGAAAUGCGUAGAUAUCGAGAGGAACACUCGUGGCGAAGGCGGGUUCCUGGACAUUAACUGACGCUGAGGCACGAAGGCCAGGGGAGCGAAAGGGAUUAGAUACCCCUGUAGUC